rnacentral:misc_RNA from 1 species
GUAGACGAAAUAAUUGUGUUUGCUCGCAAACGAAAAAAAACCGACUUCAAUUACAUCGACAAGUAAUAAUACAACGUAGAUCGACGAAAAAAUAGUUAAGCAACUACGCGUUAUUAAAGAUUACUCAAAAAGUAGUUAUCAGAUCUCGAUAAAAUUUAUAUGUGACCACAUGAUAAACAUCAGCUUUCGAUUAAAUUAAAAUUUAUCAAAAUCG